AAUAUUGCACAAUGGGGGAAACCCUGAUGCAGCAACGCCGCGUGAAGGAUGAAGGUUUUCGGAUUGUACACUUCUUUAGUCGGGGACGAAUAAAUGACGGUACACGGAGAAUAAUCCACGGCUAACUACGUGCCAGCAGCCGCGGCAAUACGUAGGUGGCGAGCGUUGUCCGGAAUUACUGGGUGUAAAGGGCGUGUAGGCGGGAAUGUAAGUCAGAUGUGAAAUCCCAGGGCUUAACCCUGGAGCUGCAUCUGAAACUAUGUUUCUUGAGUGUCGGAGAGGAAAGCGGAAUUCCUAGUGUAGCGGUGAAAUGCGUAGAUAUUAGGAGGAACACCAGUGGCGAAGGCGGCUUUCUGGACGAUAACUGACGCUGAGGCGCGAAAGCGUGGGGAGCAAACAGG
rnacentral:rRNA from 1 species